rnacentral:rRNA from 1 species
AUGCGUAUAGAUAGCGCUAUCGGCACACGCGGUCAUACGUAGGACCCAAGCGUUAUCCGGAGUGACUGGGCGUAAAGAGUUGCGUAGGCGGCGCGUCAAGCGAGUAAUGAAAUUUAUCGGCUCAACUGGUAAACUAUUAUUCGAACUGGCGUGCUCGAGAGUAUCAGAGGUCGCUGGAAUUUCUUGUGUAGCAGUGAAAUGCGUAGAUAUAAGAAGGAACACCAAUGGCGUAGGCAGGCGACUGGGAUAUUUCUGACGCUAAGGCACGAAAGCGUGGGGAGCGAACCGGAUUAGAUACCCGGGUAGUCCACGCCGUAAACGAUGAAUGUUAACUGUCGGGGGUAUCGACCCCUUCGGUAGUAAAGCUAACGCGUUAAACAUUCCGCCUGUGGAGUACGGCCGCAAGGCUAAAACAUAAAGGAAUUGACGGGGACCCGCACAAGCGGUGGAGCGUGUUCUUUAAUUCGAUGCUAAACGAAGAACCUUACCCAGGCUUGACAUCCUCUGAAUUACUCCGAAAGGAGUGAGUGCUUUAUUGAACAGAGUGACAGAUCUUGCAUGGCCGUCGUCAGCUCGUGUCGUGAGAUGUAUGGUUAAGUCCAUCAACGAGCGCAACCCUUAUCGUUAGUUGUAUUUUUCUAGCGAGACUGCCUCUGUAAGGAGGAGGAAGGAGGGGAUGAUGUCAGGUCAGUAUUAGUCUUACGUCUGGGGCUAGAAACGCGCUACAAUGGUCAGUACAACGGGCAGCGAAACAGCAAUGUGAAGCAAAUCCCAUCAAAACUGAUCCCAGUUCGGACUGAGGGCUGAAACUCGCCCUCACGAAGUCGGAAUCGCUAGUAAUCGCAGAUCAGCACGCUGCGGUGAAUACGUUCCAGGGUCUUGUACACACCGCCCGUCAAACCAUGAAAGUCAGGAGCACCCGACGCCCGAAUUUAUCUCGGUCU